AGUGAACGUUGGCGGCGUGGAUUAGGCAUGCAAGUCGAGCGAGAACCGUAGCAAUACGGGGACAGCGGCGAAAGGGACAGUAAUGUGUAGGUACCUACCCCGAGGUCUGGGAUAGCUGCGGGAAACUGCAGGUAAUACCGGAUAAUGUCUUCGGACCAAAGGUGUGAUUCCACCUUGGGAGGGGCCUGCAUCCUAUUAGCUUGUUGGCGGGGUAACGGCCCACCAAGGCGACGAUGGGUAGCGGGUGUGAGAGCACGACCCGCGUCAUUGGGACUGAGACACUGCCCAGACACCUACGGGUGGCUGCAGUCGAGGAUCUUCGGCAAUGGGCGCAAGCCUGACCGAGCGACGCCGCGUGCGGGAUGAAGGCCUUCGGGAUGUAAACCGCUGUCGUAGGGGAGGAAAUGCAGGUGGGUUCUCCCUCCUGUUUGACCUAUCCUAGGAGGAAGUACGGGCUAAGUUCGUGCCAGCCGCCGCGGUAACAC
rnacentral:rRNA from 1 species